UGUACGGCAUCAAACGCUCUGGCUGUAAUUUCAGUCCUUAAUACCUAAUUCCUCUUUGCUCAGUUAGCCCACAAGAAAUUAUCUUCUUAGAAAGCCAUACCUAGUCUGGGUGACAGCUUAGCCCUGUUAGAAUGAUCUUAUGAGAAGGGAGAGAAUUUUCAAGAAACAUAGCAAUCAACAAAAUGAAAAUCUCUUGAUCAAGUGAUCAACAAAUUGAAGUUUAAAAAUUAUACAUCUGAAAGACAGGGGAGGAGACAGAGAAGAUGAAGAAGAGGAGGAGGAAGAAAAACGAGGAGAAAGAGGACGAAAAAAAUCCAUAUUCCUAUAUGAGAAUUCACAUCCUGAGUUAGUCUGAAUAUCUUCUUUUACCUCUGUUAAUAUUCACUGACAACAUUCCAAAGGGUACCAUGAUUAGCAAUAAAACAAAAAGAAAUUUA